UGGGGAAUAUUGGACAAUGGGGGCAACCCUGAUCCAGCAAUGCCGCGUGUGUGAAGAAGGCCUUCGGGUUGUAAAGCACUUUUAUCGGGAACGAAACAUUGUCGGCCAAUACCCGGCAAGACUGACGGUACCCGAGGAAUAAGCACCGGCUAACUCCGUGCCAGCAGCCGCGGUAAUACGGAGGGUGCAAGCGUUAAUCGGAAUUACUGGGCGUAAAGCGUGCGCAGGCGGUUUGUUAAGUCUGCUGUGAAAUCCCCGAGCUCAACUUGGGAAUUGCAGUGGAUACUGGCAAGCUGGAGUACGGUGGAGGAAGGUGGAAUUCCCGGUGUAGCAGUGAAAUGCGUAGAGAUCGGGAGGAACACCAGUGGCGAAGGCGGCCUUCUGGACCAGUACUGACGCUCAUGCACGAAAGCGUGGGGAGCAAACA
rnacentral:rRNA from 1 species